rnacentral:SRP_RNA from 1 species
AUCAGCCCCUCGUGUGGCGCUAUCUUGGCUAACUCCCCCAGGUCAGAAAUGAAGCAAGGGUAACUGGGCUCUGGCGGGUACACGAGGGGUCUUGUCUG